GCGGGAGUGGCGGAACUGGCAGACGCGCCAGACUUAGGAUCUGGUGCCACAAGGCGUGGAGGUUCAAGUCCUCUCUCCCGCACCA
rnacentral:tRNA from 1 species